UGCAGUCGAGCGGUAACAGGGGGAGCUUGCUCCCCGCUGACGAGCGGCGGACGGGUGAGUAAUGCAUAGGAAACUGCCCAGUAGUGGGGGAUAGCCCGGGGAAACCCGGAUUAAUACCGCAUACGCCCUUCGGGGGAAAGCAGGGGAUCUUCGGACCUUGCGCUAUUGGAUGUGCCUAUGUCGGAUUAGCUAGUUGGUGGGGUAAGAGCCUACCAAGGCGACGAUCCGUAGCUGGUCUGAGAGGAUGAUCAGCCACAUCGGGACUGAGACACGGCCCGAACUCCUACGGGAGGCAUCGGUGGGGAAUAUUGGACAAUGGGGGCAACCCUGAUCCAGCCAUGCCGCGUGUGUGAAGAGCGCUUUC
rnacentral:rRNA from 1 species